GAUGAACGCUGGCGGCGUGCCUAAUACAUGCAAGUCGAGCGAACAGACGAGGAGCUUGCUCCUCUGACGUUAGCGGCGGACGGGUGAGUAACACGUGGAUAACCUACCUAUAAGACUGGGAUAACUUCGGGAAACCGGAGCUAAUACCGGAUAAUAUAUUGAACCGCAUGGUUCAAUAGUGAAAGACGGUUUUGCUGUCACUUAUAGAUGGAUCCGCGCCGCAUUAGCUAGUUGGUAGGGUAACGGCUUACCAAGGCGACGAUGCGUAGCCGACCGGAGAGGAUGAUCGGCCACACGGGAACUGAGACACGGGCCAGGCUCCGACGGGAGGCAGCAGUGGGGAAUAUUGGACAAUGGGCGCAAGCCUGAUCCAGCCAUACCGCGUGGGUGAAGAAGGCCUUCGGGUUGUAAAGCCCUUUUGUUGGGAAAGAAAAGCAGCAGGUUAAGACCCCGCUGUUCUGACGGGACCCAAAGAAUAAGCACCGGCUAACUUCGUG
rnacentral:rRNA from 1 species